ACGAACGCUGGCGGCGUGCUUAACACAUGCAAGUCGAGCGGUAAGGCCCUUUCGGGGGUACACGAGCGGCGAACGGGUGAGUAACACGUGGGUGACCUGCCCUUAGCUCUGGGAUAAGCCUGGGAAACUGGGUCUAAUACCGGAUAUGACUCCAUGACGCAUGUUGUGGAGUGGAAAGCCUUGUGCGGCUAGGGAUGGGCCUGCGGCCUAUCAGCUUGUUGGUGGGGUGANGGCCUACCAAGGCGACGACGGGUAGCCGGCCUGAGAGGGCGACCGGCCACACUGGGACUGAGACACGGCCCAGACUCCUACGGGAGGCAGCAGUGGGGAAUCUUGCGCAAUGGGCGAAGGCCUGACGCAGCGACGCCGCGUGGGGAUGAC
rnacentral:rRNA from 1 species